GGNUCUUUAAGUCGGAUGUGAAAUCCCCGGGCUCAACCUGGGAACUGCAUCCGAUACUGGGGAGCUAGAAUUUGGGAGAGGGAAGUGGAAUUUCCGGUGUAGCGGUGAAAUGCAUAGAGAUCGGAAGGAACAUCAGUGGCGAAGGCGACUUCCUGGACCAAAAUUGACGCUGAGGCACGAAAGCGUGGGUAGCAAACAGGAUUAGAUACCCUGGUAGUCCACGCCGUAAACGAUGUCAACUAGCCGUCGGCUCCAACUAAGGGGUCGGUGGUGCAGCUAACGCAUUAAGUUGACCGCCUGGGGAGUACGCGCGCAAGCGUAAAA
rnacentral:rRNA from 1 species